rnacentral:rRNA from 1 species
UACGUAGGUGGCAAGCGUUGUCCGGAUUUACUGGGCGUAAAGAGCGCGCAGGCGGUCGUGCAAGUCGCGUGUGAAAGCCCCCGGCUCAACUGGGGAGGGUCACGCGAUACUGCUCGACUCGAAGGCAGGAGAGGGAAGUGGAAUUCCCGGUGUAGUGGUGAAAUGCGCAGAUAUCGGGAGGAACACCGGUGGCGAAGGCGGUUCUCUGGGCCUGUACUGACGCUGAGGAGCGAAAGCGUGGGGAGCGAACAGG